rnacentral:tRNA from 1 species
GGUCCCAUCGUCUAGUGGCUAGGACGCUACCCUCUCACGGUAGAAACACGGGUUCGAUCCCCGUUGGGACUACCA